AUUGAACGCUGGCGGCAGGCCUAACACAUGCAAGUCGAACGGAUCCUUCGGGAUUAGUGGCGGACGGGUGAGUAACACGUGGGAACGUGCCCUUUGGUUCGGAACAACUCAGGGAAACUUGAGCUAAUACCGGAUGUGCCCUUCGGGGGAAAGAUUUAUCGCCAUUGGAGCGGCCCGCGUCUGAUUAGCUAGUUGGUGAGGUAAAGGCUCACCAAGGCGACGAUCAGUAGCUGGUCUGAGAGGAUGAUCAGCCACACUGGGACUGAGACACGGCCCAGACUCCUACGGGAGGCAGCAGUGGGGAAUCUUGCGCAAUGGGCGAAAGCCUGACGCAGCCAUGCCGCGUGAAUGAUGAAGGUCUUAGGAUUGUAAAAUUCUUUCACCGGGGACGAUAAUGACGGUACCCGGAGAAGAAGCUCCGGCUAACUCCGUGCCAGCCGCCGCAGUAA
rnacentral:rRNA from 1 species